rnacentral:rRNA from 1 species
CCUACGGGAGACAGCAGUGAGGAAUAUUGGUCAAUGGGCGCGAGCCUGAACCAGCCAAGUCGCGUGAGUGAAGACGGCCCUACGGGUUGUAAACCUCUUUUGCCGGGGAGCAACGGGCGCCACGUGUUGCGCCACUGAGAGUACCCGGAGUAAAAGCAUGGGCUAACUCCGGGCCAGCAGCCGCGGUAGUACGGAGGAUGCGAGCGUUAUCCGGAGUAAUUGGGUUUAAAGGGUGCGUGGGCGGAGCGUUAGGUCAGUGGUAAAAUUGAGGGGCUAAACCCCUUCCCGCCAUGGAAACUGGCGCUCUUGAGUGGAAGAGAAGUACGCGGAAUGCGUGGUGUAGCGGUGAAAUGCAUAGA